rnacentral:rRNA from 1 species
GACGAACGCUGGCGGCGUGCUUAAUACAUGCAAGUCAACUGAGCUUAAGGUAGCAAUAUUUUAAGUGCGGUGGCGCACGGGUGAGUAACACGUAGGUAAUCUGCCUUUAGGUCUGACAUAAUCCCGCGAAAGCGGGACUAAAAUCAGAUGAUGCAGCGGCUCGACAUCGAGACAGUUGUUAAACCUUCGGGGCCUAAAGAUGAGCCUGCGUCUGAUUAGGUAGUUGGCGGAGUAAAAGCCCACCAAGCCUGCGAUCAGUAGCUGGUCUGAGAGGAUGAUCAGCCACACUGGAACUGAGACACGGUCCAGACUCCUACGGGAGGCAGCAGUAAGGAAUAUUGCUCAAUGGCCGAAAGGCUGAAGCAGCAACGCCGCGUGGAGGAUGAAAUACUUUUGUAUGUAAACUCCUGUAAGAGGGGAAAAAUAUUU